rnacentral:rRNA from 1 species
UGGGGAAUAUUGGACAAUGGGCGCAAGCCUGAUCCAGCCAUGCCGCGUGUGUGAAGAAGGCCUUUUGGUUGUAAAGCACUUUAAGCGAGGAGGAGGCUACUUGGAUUAAUACUCUAGGAUAGUGGACGUUACUCGCAGAAUAAGCACCGGCUAACUCUGUGCCAGCAGCCGCGGUAAUACAGAGGGUGCGAGCGUUAAUCGGAUUUACUGGGCGUAAAGCGUGCGUAGGCGGCUUUUUAAGUCGGAUGUGAAAUCCCUGAGCUUAACUUAGGAAUUGCAUUCGAUACUGGGAAGCUAGAGUAUGGGAGAGGAUGGUAGAAUUCCAGGUGUAGCGCUGAAAUGCGUAGAGAUCUGGAGGAAUACCGAUGGCGAAGGCAGCCAUCUGGCCUAAUACUGACGCUGAGGUACGAAAGCAUGGGGAGCAAACAGG